UACGUAGGGUGCGAGCGUUGUCCGGAAUUAUUGGGCGUAAAGAGCUUGUAGGCGGUUUGUCGCGUCUGCUGUGAAAAUCCGGGGCCCAACCCCGGACUUGCAGUGGGUACGGGCAGACUAGAGUGUGGUAGGGGAGACUGGAAUUCCUGGUGUAGCGGUGAAAUGCGCAGAUAUCAGGAGGAACACCAGUGGCGAAGGCGGUUUACUGGGCCACAUCUGACGCUGAUGUACGAAAGCGUGGGGAGCAAACAGGAUUAGAUACCCUGGUAGU
rnacentral:rRNA from 1 species